rnacentral:scaRNA from 1 species
UUGGUUCCCCGGUUCUAGCGGUUCUGAACCGUAUACUGCUCAGCCCUACUGAUAUGUGGGCCAUCGGCCCACUUGAUGUUAAUCUAAUUUUUUAUGGGGAAAGGCCCAUCACAAUAGCUUGCUAUUGGGGUCUUUGAGUGUCGCCUUAGCGUUGCACUACUGCCUAGGCUUGGCGCACCCCUU